rnacentral:rRNA from 1 species
AUUGAACGCUGGCGGCAGGCUUAACACAUGCAAGUCGAGCGGAGAUGAGGUGCUUGCACCUUAUCUUAGCGGCGGACGGGUGAGUAAUGCUUAGGAAUCUGCCUAUUAGUGGGGGACAACAUUCCGAAAGGAAUGCUAAUACCGCAUACGUCCUACGGGAGAAAGCAGGGGAUCUUCGGACCUUGCGCUAAUAGAUGAGCCUAAGUCGGAUUAGCUAGUUGGUGGGGUAAAGGCCUACCAAGGCGACGAUCUGUAGCGGGUCUGAGAGGAUGAACCGCCACACUGGGACUGAAACACGGCCCAGACUCCUACGGGAGGCAGCAGUGGGGAAUAUUGGACAAUGGGGGAAACCCUGAUCCAGCCAUGCCGCGUGUGUGAAGAAGGCCUUAUGGUUGUAAAGCACUUUAAGCGAGGAGGAGGCUACUGAGACUAAUACUCUUGGAUAGUGGACGUUACUCGCAGAAUAAGCACCGGCUAACUCUGUGCCAGCCGCCGCGGUAACAC